UGGUGAUACAAGAUGGGAGAGAAAAAGACUGAUCUGGGAGACUUGGAAAACUUUAAGCAUGCUUAUGGAUGCAGAGAAACAAUUGGCAGAGAGAAAGGCAUAAAAGAUUAAAAAAACCAAACAAGGCCUAGAGAAAUUGAAUGACUUGCCACACAACUUUCUGGUAGCUUAAUCAGGACCUAUCUUUUCUAUAUCUCAGACCCAGGCUAAACAGGCCUGCUUAAGACCUGUGCCUGUGGCGCCUUGCACUUCCUCAUCGAACUCAGAGCAAUUGAAACGAUCAAUGUCUGCUUCCCCACCAGACUCAGAGCUCUGUGAAGACAGGGAUUUCUUGUGCCUGAUUCCUGCUGUAACCACAAUGUUGGGCUUUCCACCUGAGAUUCUGCUGUCAUACCCAAAGGCCAACAGAAUAGAAGCCAGCUUACUGUGACAUCAUAACUGAAUAAAGCUCCAUGGAGCUUUUAAAGCUAUCCAAGGAUGAGAAGAAUGAGAAGAUAUCAACAUCUUCCGUAAGAGUUCCCUCAGCACUUGACUUUGUUCAGAAUGAAGAAAUCUUAGUCAGCAUGGAAAAGAAUUACCUCACAGAUGCAACAGACAUUGUACAAUAUCUCCUGCCAAAUAAACGUU
rnacentral:lncRNA from 1 species